rnacentral:lncRNA from 1 species
GAAUACUUGCGCCAGAAGAUCUUCUUGCAUCCGUGGGUGAAACGGGUCCACUAGCUGCAUCACUUGGUUGCAACAAAAAGGAAAAAUACAAAUAUUAAGAGGAGUAUCAGGAAACAAGUCAUUGGGAUAAAAUAAAAUUAUCUCAAUGAGAAAUAAAAUACACUUUGCCACUUGGAGAUGUUACUUGAAGUUUUAUUGAGUCUUCUUGUACCAAAGACAUUACUUAUAAGAAUUUUGUCAUGGAUCAUAUUGUGGAAUUCCAUUUUAGGAUUCUGUCAUGUAACUACUCUAUAUUAAGAUUCUAUGCAAGUUCUUUCUUCUAGUGUAUUACACAUUUUAGGAUUCUAUCAUGUAACUACUCUAUAUUAAGAUUCUAUGCAAGUUCUUUCUUCUGGUGUAUGACAUGUUUAGAGUAGUAUUCAUGGUAGUAAUUUGCUUCUUGCUUGAAAGCCCAGAAACACAAGGGGGAAGAAGAAGAGAGAUGAAAACCAAAACCCAACAUUCCAAUCCGUAGAUAUGCACAAAGCCACAAACAAAGAUGCAUCAACGAACAACCAAAGUACCCAGAUAAGAGAAAUCAUAAAACGUGGGACUGGGAUAAUGAAACCUUCUGAUAAACAAUGUUAGAAGGUUUUGUGGGCUUUAUUCUAAAGUAAGGUAAGCUCCAUUUGUCCAUUAUUGAUUGAAUUAAGAUCAGAUAUCAUCCCUUAAGAAUUUUGCAUCAUUUUCAUCCUGAAAGACAAAAAGGAAUAGAGGAAAACACUAUCACUGCAUCCUCACAGCAGGGGCUUCCACUAUAAUAUAAUCAUUCUGUUUUAGAAUUAGAAUAAAGGCAAACAAGAAAGGGCCCAUUAAAAGAAGUAAAACCAGAAUAAGGGGUAUCAAAAGCAAAAUUCCAUUAAUUUGUUAGAAAUCCAGAUUUACAUCUACAACUAUUUACAUCUGCAACUUUUGGGGUGCAUUUUUCUGCAGUUCGACUCAUACUUUCUGCAUCUAGGAUAUAGUUCAUUCAGAAAUGUAUUCUCAGCUUUCAGCAAAGUACGAAAAGUAUGAUUUUGGGAUCUUCCUAGGUCAAUAAUUUUUCUCCCCUCAUUUGAAAUAUAAUAACUUGGUCCUGAUACUAAUUUAACAUCUGCUUCCUUUUUGUUUUCUCUAAGGAAAUGGCUGGUUCUGAUAUUUUUAUCUAAUACUACAGCAAAAAGAAGAUUAUAGCAAUGAAGGUUAUGGAGUGAUCGGCUUCUACAAGAAAUGUAUUUUCUUUUAUCUUUCUCAUGGAAGAAGUCUAAAACUUAAAUCUUGAAAUGAAUAUUGACUAUAGCAAUGAAGGUUUAUGGAGUGUGGUUCUCCAGCUUGUUAGGUGGAAAAGGAUAGAUAAAUUGUUAGUUUUUCAUAGUGACUAUGGAGUCCCAAAACUCCAAAGUUGCACCAGUUAUCAUAGUCACUCUCGGCACUUCACAAAUGAAAAAUAAAAUUGCACAAUACACCAAAAAUAAAAGAACUAAGAAUUUACCGCUGUAUGAUUUCUUGCUAAAAAUUUGCAAUGACCAAUAAAGCACCCUUCUGCAUCAAAAUUUUAAGUUGGACAUGCUAAACCAGUAUGCGAGUUCCAACCAGAUAAGAUAUCAAGUCCAGGAAAGUCACUAAUUAUCCACAUAAGAGUAGCUCGCGAUCUAAACAUUUCUUUCUUUGAUGAAUCAAAAGUUUCAACACCUUCAUUCCACAACUCAUUCAACUCCUUAAUAAGGGGUUGUAGGUAAACAUUUAUGUUAUUUUCCGAGUACGUGGACCAGGAAUGAUCAUUGAAAGAAUAAAAUUGGGUUGUUUCAUGCAUAACCAAGGAGGAAGGUUAUAUGGAACUAAAAUGACUGGCCAAAUGCUAUAAUUAGUACUCAUAUCAAAAGGAUUAAAGUCAUCACUAGCUAAACCUAGCCGAACAUUCCGAGGAUCAAAAGAAAAUUCAGGAAAAGUUGUAUCAAACCUCUUCCAUGUCUCACCAUCUCUAGGAUGCCUCAUGAUUCCAUCUUUGUUACUAUCCUCAGCAUGCCAUCUCAUAUAUUUUGCUAUUUUAGAGCAUAUGAACAAUCUCUAUAACCUUGGUUUUAAUGGAAAGUAACGCAAAAUCUUUGCAGGCUUCUUGGUUUUCUUUUUACCUAUAGUAGACACAAGAUCUUCAUUUCUGUUCUUGUUAGGUUUCCACCUAGAAGUGUGACAAUACUUACAUGUUUCCUCAUUAGCAUCAUUCCCCCAAAACAACAUACAAUCAUUUGGACAAGCAUCUAUCUUGAGAUAAUCAAGACAAAGCUUACUGAUAGUUUUCUUAGCCUCAUAAAAAGAAAUAGGGAUUCGUGUAAAUGUAAAUGCAUCCCUCAACAAAUCUAGUGUCAUGGACAUUCCCUUGUCACUUAGCCCAUACAAACACUUUAUGUGAUACAAUUUAAUAAAAAUUCUAGUUUUGAGUACUUGGACCCUUCAUACAAUUCUUGACUUCCAUCUCUAAGCAACUUGAAAAAGUCUUUGUCAUUUGAAGCAGGCACCUGCUACUUGUGAUGGACCUACAUCAACUCCAUUGUGCCUUAGGCCCCCAAAUGCUUCAUUGAUCAAUAAUUCUACAGGAUUUUCAGGAGGUAAUGUAUCUUGUAUAACUUCAAUAUUUAUAGAAUUAGGCAGUACAUUUCUUUCACCAUGAAUACUCCAAGUGACAUAACUUUGAGGGAAUGGUUUGCAUACAAAAUGAUCAAAUGCUACAUCUCUAGUCUGCCACUUUGCGAAUCCACAUUUAGGACAAGGACAUUUUAUUCUAUUUCCCACAACAACAUUAGCAAAUACAAAAUCUAAAAACUGAUUUAACCCAAACAAAUACUCAGUGGUGUUCCUUGGCUUUGUAAUCCAAAAUUUAUCCAUAGGAAAGUAUUAUCUUUCAAGUGUGAACCUUUCAGAAUAUAAAGAGAAAAUAUUAGUUCUCUAUUAUUAGCAUACAUAAUAAUAAUUAUGAAGUAAUAAAACAUACAACAAAAGCCAUAUAUAAUCAUAAACACUAUCAAACAUGAAAAUUCCAAAACAAAGAAUGCAUUUGCAUAGUCAUAGUCAUAUCUCCCAACAAUAAUAAGUAGAUUCCUUGAUUGCAUUAAUGAAAACUAUUAAACACUAUCAAACAUGAAAAUUCCAAAACAAAGAAUGCAUUUGCAUAGUCAUAGUCAUAUCUCCCAACAAUAAUAAGUGGAUUCGAAGACAAGUGAGUCUAAAACUAUAAGUAAGCAUGCAAUAUACAACAUGAACAGUAAGCAAUUCACAUACCCCAGCUUCUUUUUGCACAAGUUUCAAUUUAUGGUAUUGUCAUUACUAUUUUAUUUUCCCUCUUUGUUUUAUGUUUGGAAAGUAAAAACUAAAUGGUUUAAAAAAUGUAUAGUAUAUCUCUUUGAAUGAUGCUCAAAUUAAUAAUAAGUCAUAAAUUACUCUCACAUCAAUUGACAAGCACCAAAUUAAUGUUAAAGUUAUUGGUGCACCCGUAAUCUCAGAGUUCUAUAUCCGCCUUUGAUUUUACUGUGUAAAAUAAAGUGAAUGUUUAGACAAUAUGAAUAUCAUCUGACCUAUAAUUAUUAAUUAAGGCUAUUCUCUUAGCCGGAAACACACUAUACAUAUAAGGUAAGAUUUUUGUUGAAUAUUGUAUAUAGAGUAGAUGUUCAGCCCUUUGGUGAUUAAUCAUGCCUUUGUCACUGUAUAUAUGCGUCUAUUCUAAUGAACCAACUCAUGAACAGUUAAUGUAAAUUUGAGAUUCCAUAAGUACCUCAUUAGCUUGCUAAGACAUUAUUCUAGUUCUAUGCAGUGGUCAUGGCCUUGUUUUUGGUCAUCAGGACCCUACCUAUUGAGUUUUCUCGUGUAGAGACACUCAUUUUUCGUGUGAUUUAGUCAAGCUUCAACUAUUAAAUUCUGGAUUAAUUAUCAAAUUUGGGAAGAAUUAAUAUACCAGAUAUAUAGUAAAGGCCAGUGUAUUUAAUAUGAUAAUGAUGUGAUAAAAAUAAGAGAUGUUGACAGAAAUUUUUUUAGGGUUUUUCGGAUAUUAUUGUAAGUUGAAAAGGGAUGGCAAAAUUUGGAAAGCAAAGAUGAAGCAAGUAAGUAAGAAUGGAGGAGAGAGGGACCUUUAUAUAGCUUUCUUCAAUAUAUAAGUUUGAUUACAAUGAACUCAGGCGAAGCAGAUCUGGACCAUAUAAUAGAAACUGCAACAGGACUGGAACUGUGAAUCCCUAAAAGCGGCGGGAAUCCACCACUGGAAACAUGAACGACAUCAAAAGCUCGAACCAAAUCCGACCUCAAUCGAACUCCAUUAAUUUAAGCAAAACCCGAAAAACGAAAAUGGAGAGACAAGAAAAAUAUUUUCUAUCUUUGUUCUAUAUAUACGUAUGAAAGGAAAUUAGGCUCCAAAAUCAGAGAAAAAGAACUAAAAAUCAGAAGAGAAAAGCUCAAAAAUCAAAAUUAUAACUAUGGUUCUUCCUCCCUUCUUUUGUGCUGUUCUUCUUCUUUUUUUUAUGUGUGUUGUGGUCGUUUGAGGGCUGGUUGACGACGGCGAUUUUCUAGGGUGAAGGGAGUAUUUUCCGGCGGGUUUUAGGGGUUGGGUGUGUAAGGUUCUCUGCGGUUGGUUAGGUUUGAGAGGAGUGAUGGUGGCGUGGGGUUGGGGGUGGCGCCGAUCUGCUUGUGUGUUAGGGUUCUUUGUUCUUGUUUUGUCUUCUUGUUUUGUUUUAGGGUUGGGAAAGUUUUAAAACCCCGUAAAUUAUAUAAUUUUUUGGGGCUAAUAUAUUACCACAAAAGUAUGUAAAUUGUGGAGUUUACUAUAUUCUUACCAAAUAAACCUCCAAAGUUAUCCGUUUUUUUGUAGUGUAUACAUAUGACAGACUAACAUGUGUUCCCUAAAAUUCUCCCUCUAAAUAAGGCCUCCAAACCUUUUAUGGCUGCAUUACUGCUAAUAAGAACGAAAAAUUUUCAAUUUAUAAAAGAAAAA